UACAGAGGGCGCGAGCGUUGUCCGGAGUUACUGGGCGUAAAGAGUGCGUAGGCGGUCCUGUAAGUUCGAUGUGAAAUCUCCCGGCUCAACUGGGAGGGUGCGCCGAAGACUGCAGGGCUUGAGUAUGGGAGAGGAAAGCGGAAUUCCUGGUGUAGCGGUGAAAUGCGUAGAUAUCAGGAGGAACACCUGCGGUGUAGACGGCUUUCUAGACCAUAACUGACGCUGAGGCACGAAAGCGUGGGUAGCAAACAGG
rnacentral:rRNA from 1 species